rnacentral:rRNA from 1 species
GGUAAGUAACACGUUGGAACCUGCCCCGAAGUGGGGAAUAACUGCUCGAAAGAGUAGCUAAUACCCCAUAGUAUCCGGUUUAUCCGGAUUAAAGAUUUAUCGCUUCGGGAGGGGCCUGCGUCUGAUUAGCUUGUUGUGGGGUAAAAAGCUCACCAAGGCGACGAUCAGUAGCUGGUUCGAGAGGAUGACCAGCCACACUGGGACUGAGAUACGGCCCAGACUCCUACGGGAGGCAGCAGUGAGGAAUCUUCCACAAUGGACGAAAGUCUGAUGGAGCAAUACCGCGUGCAGGACGACGCUUUUCGGAGUGUAAACUGCUUUUGUCGUCGAAGAUUAUGACUGUAGACGAAGAAUAAGGACCGGCUAACUACGUG